AUCACAGAGGCGUCGCAGUCAGCAGAUGUGGUGUGUGGAUGUUUAGACGUUGUUGGUCAGAAUAUCAUUAAGUGUCACACUUUGACAAGUUCAUCAGCUGGUAACAAACCUGUUCACAGCUCAGAUCCAGACUCAGAUUUGGUGCCUUUCAGCGUCUCAACAUGUGUUCGAGUCUCUCCACCAGCCGCCUGAUUCUUCUGAUCUCCCUGAGUGUGGUGAUGCUCAUCUCUGUAUCAGGGGCUGACCACGUGGGGACACUCUGCUAUGAAAAUCAUUCUAACCAAAAUGCAAGAACCACAAAGGUUACACCUGUAUGGGCCAAAAACAUCAUCAGCUGCUUUAAACUAAAAAGACCAUUCUGCCACCUGCCUGGC